GACGUAGGGCGCGAGCGUUUGUCCGGAUUUAUUGGGCGUAAAGAGCUCGUAGGCGGCUUGUCGCGUCGAAUGUGAAAACUCGGGGCUCAACUCCGAGCUUGCAUUCGAUACGGGCAGGCUAGAGUUCGGUAGGGGGAGACUGGAAUUCCUGGUGUAGCGGUGAAAUGCGCAGAUAUCAGGAGGAACACCGGUGGCGAAGGCGGGUCUCUGGGCAGCUUGCUGACACUGAGGCGCGACAGCGUGGGGAGCAAACAGG
rnacentral:rRNA from 1 species